GGUCGGGAUAGCUCAGCUGGUAGAGCAG
rnacentral:tRNA from 1 species